CCUACGGGAGGCAGCAGUGAGGAAUAUUGGUCAAUGGGCGUAAGCCUGAACCAGCCAAGUCGCGUGAGGGAUGAAGGUUCUAUGGAUCGUAAACCUCUUUUAUAAGGGAAUAAAGUGUGGGACGUGUCCUGUUUUGUAUGUACUUUAUGAAUAAGGAUCGGCUAACUCCGUGCCAGCAGCCGCGGUAAUACGGAGGAUCCGAGCGUUAUCCGGAUUUAUUGGGUUUAAAGGGUGCGUAGGCGGCUUGUUAAGUCAGCGGUGAAAGUUUGUGGCUCAACCAUAGAAUUGCGGUUGAAACUGGGAGGCUUGAGUAUGUUUGAGGCAGGCGGAAUGCGUGGUGUAGCGGUGAAAUGCUUAGAUAUCACGCAGAACCCCGAUUGCGAAGGCAGCCUGCCAAGCCAUGACUGACGCUGAUGCACGAAAGCGUGGGGAUCAAACAGGAUUAGAUACCCCAGUAGUC
rnacentral:rRNA from 1 species